AGAUUCUUCCGAUUAACAUCAAAGGCCUAGCUGGAAGUUUUGCAACACUUGCCAAUUGGUUCUUUUCCUGGUUGGUUACAUUAACAACAAAUUUGCUCUUGGAUUGGAGUUCGGGAGGAACCUUCACAAUAUAUACUGCAGUGUGUGUUUUCACAGCAGGAUUUGUUGCCAUUUGGGUCCCCGAGACAAAGGGAAAAACUCUUGAAGAAAUACAACAGUUUUUCAGAUGAAGUUUCCUUUCGAGUAGCACUUCAGCUAGUGUUCACUCAUGUAUUCACAUUCAUAUUUUUUUUUCUGAAUCAACUCAAUUCAUUUUUGUGCUCUUUGGUCUUGUUAAAUAUGAAAAAUACCAAGGGGCAAGGGAUACUUGAAAGUAUCAAUUGAUA